AAUUAGCGCUAAUACCGGAUACUUAAAUAUCUCGCAUGAGGUAUUUAUAAAAGGAGCCUUUAAAGCUUCACAAGGGGAUCGGGGUGCGUAACAUUAGCUAGUUGGUGAGGUAAUGGCUCACCAAGGCGAUGAUGUUUAGCGGGGUUGAGAGACUGAUCCGCCACACUGGGACUGAGAUACGGCCCAGACUCCUACGGGAGGCAGCAGUAGGGAAUUUUCCACAAUGGGCGAAAGCCUGAUGGAGCGACACAGCGUGCAGGAUGAAGGCCUUCGGGUUGUAAACUGCUGUUAUAAGGGAAGAAAAAGUCGAGGAGGAAAUGCCUUGACCUUGACGGUACCUUAUCAGAAAGCAACGGCUAACUAUGUGCCAGCAGCCGCGGUAAUACAUAGGUCGCAAGCGUUAUCCAAGCAACGGCUA
rnacentral:rRNA from 1 species